rnacentral:misc_RNA from 1 species
GAAAUGCGAUAAGUAAUGUGAAUUGCAGAAUUCAGUGAAUCAUCGAAUCUUUGAACGCACCUUGCGCUCCUUGGUAUUCCUUGGAGCAUGCCUAUUUGAGUAUCAUGAAAUCUUCAAAGUAAAUCUUUUGUUAACUCAAUUGGUUUCUACUUUGGUAUUGGAGGUCUUUGCAGCUUCACACCUGCUCCUCUUUGUUCAUUAGCUGGAUCUCAGUGUUAUGCUUGGUUCCACUCGGCGUGAUAAGUUAUCUAUCGCUGAGGACACUGUAAAAGGUGGCCAAGGUAAAUGCAGAUGAACCGCUUCUAAUAGUCCAUUGACUUGGACAAUACUUUUAUGAUCUGAUCUCAAAUCAGGUAGGACUACCCGCUGAACUUAAGC